UACGGAGGAUGCGAGCGUUAUCCGGAUUUAUUGGGUUUAAAGGGUGCGUAGGCGGACGCUUAAGUCAGCGGUAAAAUUGCGGGGCUCAACCUCGUCGAGCCGUUGAAACUGGGUGUCUUGAGUGGGCGAGAAGUACGCGGAAUGCGUGGUGUAGCGGUGAAAUGCAUAGAUAUCACGCAGAACUCCGAUCGCGAAGGCAGCGUACCGGCGCCCAACUGACGCUGAAGCACGAAGGCGUGGGUAUCGAACAGG
rnacentral:rRNA from 1 species